rnacentral:tRNA from 1 species
GUAGGAAUCGAACCUACA